rnacentral:rRNA from 1 species
UACGUAGGGGGCAAGCGUUGUCCGGAAUCAUUGGGCGUAAAGAGCGCGUAGGCGGCCCAGUAAGUCCGCUCUGAAAGUCAGGGGGCUCAACCCCUGAAUGCGGGUGGAUACUGCUGGGCUAGAGUCCGGAAGAGGUGAGUGGAAUUCCUGGUGUAGCGGUGAAAUGCGCAGAUAUCAGGAGGAACACCGGUGGCGAAGGCGGGUCUCUGGGCAGUAACUGACGCUGAGGAGCGAAAGCGUGGGGAGCGAACAGG